GUGGAUGAGGCAUGCAAGUCGAACGGAAUCGAAAGAUUCAGUGGCGGAAGGAUUAGUAAUACAUGGGUAACUUACCUUUAACACUGGGAUAACGAUUGGAAACGAUCGCUAAUACCGGAUAAGGUGGGCUGAAGGAUUCUUUAGCCUAUUAAAGUGGGGGGUCGCAAGACCUCGCGGUUAGAGAGAGGCCCAUGGGAUAUCAGCUAGUUGGUGUGGUAAAGGCGCACCAAGGCUAAGACGUCUAGGCGGAUUGAGAGAUUG
rnacentral:rRNA from 1 species